CUGUCUCUACAAAAAAUAAAUAAAUAAAAUAGCCAGGUGUGGUGGCGUGUGCCUGUAGUCCCAGCUGCUCGGGAGGAUCACUUGAGCCCAGGAGUUCAAGACUGGCCUGGGCAACAUAGUGAGACCUUGUCUCUACUACAAAAUAAAAAAAAAUUAGCUGGGCGUGGCCUCAGCUACCCAAGAGGCUAAAGUGGGAGGAUCACUUGUGCCUGGGAGGUUCAGGCUGCUGUGAGCCGAGACCACGCCACUGAACUCCAGCUUAGGCCACAGGGCAAGACCCUGUCUUAAAAUAAUAUUACUAAUUUUGGUAAUUAACUUAUCAAAACUAUAGUGACAUAUACACGGGCAGAAACUUAUAAGUAGAGUUGUAAUGCAGCCAAAUAUUCUUACAAAUUCCCUAACAAGAAGCUCAAAUCUUUCUCACAGGCAAAUUGUAAAAAUUCUAGUUUUUUGUUUAAAGAGCUGUGAUUUUCAAAAGUAUCCCUUCAGUUUAAGAAAUCUGGGGAAUUGGUAACUUUUCUUAUGGGAAAUGAUUGCCAUCAUCUCUACUGAAGGAUGCCUCUUACUGAAAAAUGUCUUUUGAAGGAGUUCUUGCCUAAAGCAUUCUUUGGAUGUAAUUUCAUACACUAAACAUAUAGACCAGUAGUUAGUGGGCCCCUCCUCUUAAACAGUAACUUUUGAAGUACUGAUACAUGAUUAAAAUGUUAGAUAUUUUUCACUGGAGCUAAGACUUAAAAUUAGGGCAUUUUGAAAGGUGUAUUUGUUUCUGUUUCUUGUUUGAUAUAUUUUGGUUAUCUACUCUUUUAAAAAACUAAACGUAUAAAAGGUAUCUUCAAAUUACUGAGUGUUUCAUCCAUCCCAGUAGGUGAAGUAUUCUCCAGUGAAUAAAUCUAUAUAUAUAUAUAGAUUUUAAAUAGCUUGAGCGGUGUAGCUUGAAAUGUUUUCAGGGAAAGACUAUUUGAAUCAUAAGGAAUAGCUUUGAUUUUCUUUUUUAUGUCUCAAAUAUAGAAUUAUUUGGGGGUGGUCACUCAGAUGGAAGAAUAUUGGCAAUUGUGUUGAACAUUUUACCUUAUAUAGUUUUGAGAAUUUUUGCCAAAAACUGAUUUCUUAGAAAUAUCCUCCCCCAGCUGUGCUUUGGUUUUUUGGUUUUUUUGUUUUGAGACGGAGUCUUGCUCUGUCGCCCAGGCUGGAGUGCAGUGGCAUGAUCUCGGCUCACUGCAAGCUCUGCCUCCCGGGUUCACGCCAUUCUCCUGCCUCAGCCUCCCGAGUAGCUGGGACUACGGACGUCCACCACCAUGCCCAGCUAAUUUUUUGUAUUUUUAGUAGAGACGGGGUUUCACCGUGUUAGCCAGGAUGGUCUCAAUCUCCUGACCCGCCUCCACCUCCCAAAGUGCUGGGAUUACAGGCAUGAGCCACCACACCCGGCCUCUGCUUUGUUUUUUAAAAAAAAAGAAAUGCAAGAGAGGGAGGGAGGCAGCCUCCUGACCAUAAAAGCUGAUUUCUUGAUUUUUUUUUCUUUUUUUUUUGAAAUGGAGUCUUGCUCUGUCUCCAAGGCUGGAGUGCAGUGGCAUGGUCUCAGCUCACUGCAGCCUCCGUUUCCUGGGUUCAAGUGAUUGUCCUGCCUUGGCCGCUGAGUAGCUAGGAUUACUGGCACCCGCCACAAGGCCCAGCUAAUUUUUGUAUUUUUAGUAGAGACAGGGUUUGAUUAUGUUGGACAGGCUGGUCUCAAACUCCUGACUUCAAGUGAUCCACCCGCCUCGGCCUCCCAACGUGAUGGGACUAUAGACAUGAGCCAUCAUGCUUGGCCUUCUUGAUUCUUGAAUACGGGGUUUUGAGGUGAAAGCAUUUCAUGAAAACUUAAGUUCAUACACAAGAGCAUCAUGAAUAUUCUAAAAGAGGUAUCUGUGCUUUUUUUGUGACCACAAAAUAUUACUUCUUAUGAAAUGUUUACACUAGGUGAGGAAAAGUUCAUUAAUUACCUUUAAACCGUUCCUUAUUUUUUUUAAGAUUUUAAAUUGUAUUUUGGCUUUUGCCUCCAGUAUCCUUUCUGGUUGCUCUGGUUUGAAUUAAGUUCCUAUUAUGCUGCAGCACAUAUCAACCUUCCCUAAGUAACCAUUUCCUGGAAUGUGAAGCAUCGGUGCCAUUAGCAGACCAUAUGCAGAAAUGUCGUGUACUUGCAUUUCUUUUUUGUGCACUCUAUAAGGCUGGUUGUGACUCAGAUCAGCUUAACUUUUUAUAUUAUGUUAUUUCACUAACUGCUACAGUCAAAAUGAUCAAAUCUUUGUACAAUAGAAAAUUAUUUAAAUUUUAUUUUUCUACUGACAUUUCUAAUUCUAG
rnacentral:lncRNA from 10 species